rnacentral:rRNA from 1 species
AACUUACCACCGAAGCUACGGGCUUGCGUAAGCAAGCGGUAGGGGAGCGUCGUAAUCGGGCUGAAGUCGUACCGUAAGGAGCGGUGGACUGAUUACGAGUGAGAAUGUUGGCAUUAGUAGCGAGAUGUAGGUGAGAAUCCUACAGGCCGAAUAUCUAAGGUUUCCUCAGGAAGGCUCGUCCGCUGAGGGUUAGUCGGGACCUAAGCCGAGGCCGAAAGGCGUAGGCGAUGGACAAUCGGUUGAUAUUCCGAUACCACUACCAUCGUUAUUAUCGAGGGUGUGACGGAGAAGGAUAGUGUGUGCUAGCGAUUGGAAAUGCUAGUCUAAGCGUUUAGGGAGUUACGGUAGGCAAAUCCGCUGUAACAAUUCUGAGGCGUGAUGGGGAAGGCCAUAUAGGCCGAAGUACAUGAUUCCAUGCUUCCAAGAAAAGCAUCUAGAGAGAGAAGUAGUGCCCGUACCGCAAACCGACACAGGUAGAUGAGGAGAGAAUCCUAAGGCCGGCGGAAGAAUUGCAGUUAAGGAACUAGGCAAAUUGACCCCGUAAGUUCGCGAGAAGGGGUGCCUGCGAGAGCAGGCCGCAGAGAAUAGGCCCAAGCAACUGUUUAGCAAAAACACAGGUCUCUGCUAAAGCGUAAGCUGAUGUAUAGGGGCUGACGCCUGCCCGGUGCUGGAAGGUUAAGGGGAACACUUAGCGCAAGCGAAGGUGUGAACUUAAGCCCCAGUAAACGGCGGCCGUAACUAUAACGGUCCUAAGGUAGCGAAAUUCCUUGUCAGGUAAGUUCUGACCCGCACGAAUGGCGUAAUGACUUGGGCACUGUCUCAACUGCAAAUCCGGCGAAGUUGUAGUGCGAGUGAAGAUGCUCGCUACCCGCGAUUGGACGGAAAGACCCCGUAGAGCUUUACUGUAGCUUAGCAUUGAAUUCCGGUAUUGUCUGUACAGGAUAGGUGGGAGACUGGGAAACUAGGGCGUCAGCCUUAGUGGAGUCAACCUUGGGAUACCACCCUGACAGUACUGGGGUUCUAACAGGACGCCAUGAAUCUGGUGACUGGACAUUGUUAGGUGGGCAGUUUGACUGGGGCGGUCGCCUCCUAAAAAGUAACGGAGGCGCCCAAAGGUUCCCUCAGAACGGUCGGAAAUCGUUCGUAGAGUGCAAAGGCAGAAGGGAGCCUGACUGCGAGACAUACAAGUCGAGCAGGGACGAAAGUCGGGCUUAGUGAUCCGGUGGUACCUCGUGGGAGGGCCAUCGCUCAACGGAUAAAAGCUACCUCGGGGAUAACAGGCUGAUCUCCCCCAAGAGUCCACAUCGACGGGGAGGUUUGGCA